GUUCAUUUCAGCAGCACAUACAGUAGAAUUGAAACAAUACAGGGAAGAUCAGUAUGUCUCCUGCACAAGGAUGACAUGCAAAUUAAUGAAUUUUAAUGAAUUGUU